rnacentral:rRNA from 1 species
GAUGAACGCUGGCGGCGUGCUUAACACAUGCAAGUCGAACGGGAAACCUUUUAUUGAAGCUUCUGCAGAUUUAGCUGGCUUCUAGUGGCGGCCGGGUGAGUAACGCGUGGGUAACCUGCCUUAUACAGGGGGAUAACAACCAGACAUGGUUGCUAAUACCGCAUAAGCGCACAGGACCGCAUGGUCCGGUGUGCAAAACUCCGGUGGUAUAAGAUGGACCCGCGUUGGAUUAGCUAGUUGGCAGGGUAACGGCCUACCAAGGCGGCGAACCAGAACCGGCAGGGGAGGCUGAACGGCAACAUUGGGGCUAAGGCACAGACCAGACUGGUAGGGGAGGAAGCAGAGGAGAAUAUUGAAAGCUGGGGGAAACCGUAGUGAAGCGACGAGGGGUGAAAGAGGAAGUAUAUCGGUAAGUAAACUUCUAUCAGCAGGGAAGAGAGUGACGGUAACUGACAAAGAAGCCCCGGCUAACUACGUG